rnacentral:siRNA from 1 species
UUAGGUAAGUUUUCAAACCCUAA